CCUACGGGAGGCAGCAGUGGGGAAUAUUGCACAAUGGGGGAAACCCUGAUGCAGCGACGCCGCGUGGGCGAGGAAGUACCUCGGUAUGUAAAGCCCUAUCAGCAGGGAAGAAACAUGACAGUACCUGACUAAGCAGCCCCGGCUAACUACGUGCCAUCAGCCGCGGUAAUACGUAGGGGGCAGGCGUUAUCCGGAUUCACUGGGCGUAAGGGGAGCGAGGGCGGCAUGGCAAGUCUGAGGUGAAAACCCGGGGCCCAAGCCCGGGAGUGCAUUUGAAACUGCCAGGCUGGAGUGUGGGAGGGGUAGGCGGAAUGCCUGGUGUAGCGGUGAAAUGCGGAGAUAUUAGGAAGAACACCGGUGGCGAAGGCGGCUUACUGGACUGCAACUGACGUUGAGGCUCGAAAGCGUGGGUAGCAAACAGGAUUAGAUACCCCUGUAGUC
rnacentral:rRNA from 1 species